GACGAACGCUGGCGGCGUGCCUAAUACAUGCAAGUAGAACGCUGAAGAGAGGAGCUUACUCUUCUUGGAUGAGUUGCGAACGGGUGAGUAACGCGUAGGUAACCUGCCUUGUAGCGGGGGAUAACUAUUGGAAACGAUAGCUAAUACCGCAUAACAAUGGAUGACACAUGUCAUUUAUUUGGAAGGGGCAAUUGCUCCACUACAAGAUGGACCUGCGUUGUAUUAGCUAGUAGGUGAGGUAAUGGCUCACCUAGGCGACGAUACAUAGCCGACCUGAGAGGGUGAUCGGCCACACUGGGACUGAGACACGGCCCAGACUCCUACGGGAGGCAGCAGUAGGGAAUCUUCGGCAAUGGGGGCAACCCUGACCGAGCAACGCCGCGUGAGUGAAGAAGGUUUUCGGAUCGUAAAGCUCUGUUGUAAGUCAAGAACGGGUGUGAGAGUGGAAAGUUCACACUGUGACGGUAGCUUACCAGAAAGGGACGGCUAACUACGUG
rnacentral:rRNA from 1 species